rnacentral:misc_RNA from 1 species
GAAAUUUAAUUGUAGUAUUAUGAUGAAAUCUCAGCAAAAGCCACAGUCUUCUUGCCAUCAUGAGCCUUCCUGAAGAAAUGCUUCACAUAAUCAGAGUAGAGAAUGUUCUUAUAUUUGGGCUUCUCUCCGGCGGCGAUCAAUUCAGGCAAAGGACCGAUCACAUCAUUUGGCUUUGGAUUUACGAAAAUGGGGAUUGAAAUUCUGUUCUUGCUCCCACUUGCAAUCACACAGUGCUCUACGCUCUUGUAUCGACCGUUGCUCAGUAUCUGCAAUGCGUCUCCAACAUUAAUCACAAGGGAUCCUUCAAUGGGAGGAACAUGAACCCAACCAUCUUUUUCCCCUUUGCCUUCGUUCACUCGCACGUAAAGUCCACCGAUUUCGUCUUGGAGGAGGAAAGUGAGGGAUGAAACAUCAGAGUGGCGGCCUACCCCAACAGUGAGCUGAGGGUUUGGACAUCUGGGAUAGUAGUUGAGGUUAAUCCUUUUGGAUCCCAUUAGCAGAGAUUCUUUUGUUUCGUCUAUUUCCUUCACGUUCAGCUUCUGCAUGAGCGCACUCAUUAGCUUUUGACAAAGGAUUUGGGAUCUCUUCAUGUAUUCAAGAACUUCAUCCCUGCAAGCACUAGGCCACAAUGCAGAAGCCUCCUCCUCAGAGACAUAAAAGAGGCUCAGAUAAUCCUUCCAUUCAAGAGCUUUCUCUGCAUCAGGACUAAAGCUAGUUCCAAACCUGACGUUGUUGGUAG